rnacentral:rRNA from 1 species
GAUGAACGCUGGCGGCGUGCCUAAUACAUGCAAGUCGAGCGAACAGAUGAGGAGCUUGCUCCUCUGACGUUAGCGGCGGACGGGUGAGUAACACGUGGAUAACCUACCUAUAAGACUGGGAUAACUUCGGGAAACCGGAGCUAAUACCGGAUAAUAUAUUGAACCGCAUGGUUCAAUAGUGAAAGACGGUUUUGCUGUCACUUAUAGAUGGAUCCGCGCCGCAUUAGCUAGUUGGUAAGGUAACGGCUUACCAAGGCAACGAUGCGUAGCCGACCUGAGCGGGUGAUCGGCCAAACUGGAACUGAGACACGGUCCAGACGCCUACGGGAGGCAGCAGUAGGGAAUAUUCCGCAAUGGGCGAAAGCCUGACGGAGCAAAGCCGCGUGAGUGAUGAAGGUCUUCGGAUCGUAAAACUCUGUUAUUAGGGAAGAACAAAUGUGUAAGUAACUAUGCACGUCGUGACGGUACCUAAUCAGAAAGCCACGGCUAACUACGUG